rnacentral:rRNA from 1 species
CGACUAAGCCAUGCGAGUCAUGGGGCGCGCUCUGCGCGCACCGGCGGACGGCUCAGUAACACGUCGGUAACCUACCCUCGGGAGGGGGAUAACCCCGGGAAACUGGGGCUAAUCCCCCAUAGGCCUGAGGUACUGGAAGGUCCUCAGGCCGAAAGGGGCUUUCGCCCGCCCGAGGAUGGGCCGGCGGCCGAUUAGGUAGUUGGUGGGGUAACGGCCCACCAAGCCGAAGAUCGGUACGGGCCAUGAGAGUGGGAGCCCGGAGAUGGACACUGAGACACGGGUCCAGGCCCUACGGGGCGCAGCAGGCGCGAAACCUCCGCAAUGCGGGAAACCGCGACGGGGGGACCCCCAGUGCCGUGGCAUCGCCACGGCUUUUCCGGAGUGUAAAGAGCUCCGGGAAUAAGGGCUGGGCAAGGCCGGUGGCAGCCGCCGCGGUAAUACCGGCGGCCCGAGUGGUGGCCGCUAUUAUUGGGCCUAAAGCGUCCGUAGCCGGGCCCGUAAGUCCCUGGCGAAAUCCCACGGCUCAACCGUGGGGCUUGCUGGGGAUACUGCGGGCCUUGGGACCGGGAGAGGCCGGGGGUACUCCUGGGGUAGGGGUGAAAUCCUAUAAUCCCAGGAGGACCGCCAGUGGCGAAGGCGCCCGGCUGGAACGGGUCCGACGGUGAGGGACGAAGGCCAGGGGAGCGAACCGGAUUAGAUACCCGGGUAGUCCUGGCUGUAAAGGAUGCGGGCUAGGUGUCGGGCGAGCUU